GAUGAACGCUGGCGGCGUGCCUAAUACAUGCAAGUCGAGCGAAUGGAUUAAGAGCUUGCUCUUAUGAAGUUAGCGGCGGGCGGGUGAGUAACACGUGGGUAACCUGCCCAUAAGACUGGGAUAACUCCGGGAAACCGGGGCUAAUACCGGAUAACAUUUUGAACCGCAUGGUUCGAAAUUGAAAGGCGGCUUCGGCUGUCACUUAUGGAUGGACCCGCGUCGCAUUAGCUAGUUGGUGAGGUAACGGCUCACCAAGGCAACGAUGCGUAGCCGACCGAGAGGGGUGAUCGGCCACACUGGGACUGAGACACGGCCCAGACUCCUACGGGAGGCAGCAGUAGGGAAUCUUCCGCAAUGGACGAAAGUCUGACGGAGCAACGCCGCGUGAGUGAUGAAGGCUUUCGGGUCGUAAAACUCUGUUGUUAGGGAAGAACAAGUGCUAGUUGAAUAAGCUGGCACCUUGACGGUACCUAACCAGAAAGCCACGGCUAACUACGUGCCAGCCGCCGCGGUAA
rnacentral:rRNA from 1 species